GGAACGUUGUGGAUAUAGACUAAAAAUGAGUGAAAGGAAAUUGGGUUCUGUGUGCUCAAAGAGUAAGCUCCAAUAUUACAAAUCGGACCAGAUAUUUGAUGCAAAUCUAUGGUACUUCGGCCAGUUAUCCAAACUCGCUGCUAUAGACGCGUUUCAGUCGCCGACUGUGACCUGUGACCCUCCAUCUGUUCUUCACGUGUUUGUGUCCACCUCCCUCUGACCUCAGCCCGUCUGCAGUGUACUGCUUAGAGCGGUGAAUUCCAUUGUCAUUUAAACUGUCAUCUGAUACCUCCAUUGUGCAAUAGAUAAUGUUUAUUUUUUAUUGUUGUUUUGUGUAUCCUGUGAAACCAGUCGGAUGUUUUUUUGAUAUGUUAUGUAGCGUAUGUUUUUAAUAUAAUUAUUUAUGCACCAGCAACCACCCACUCCUCUGUCCCGACUUUGUAGAGGAAGUUCAUGCUUUGCUUGCAUUCCGACAGAAUCUACUGACCUUUUAUCCCAAAAUGGUCCCAAUUUUUGGUCUAUUUUGAGGGAACGCAAAUGGUACGUUCAUUACUCAAUACGUUUUAAUGAUCAGCAAUGUUAGCAGUUAAAACAUUAACUAUGUUAAUAGGAUGACAGCUGACAAACAUUGUAAAAAGAAUUUACAACUUCUUUCUCAAUUUUCAUAUGCAUUUCAUUUCUCUGUCAAAAUGGUGGAUGUUUCAUUUUGGCAUAAAGCCUUUGUCUCAAUGGCAUACUGAUGCUUAAUAGUAAGCAGCCCAAACUUGAUUCUGGACUUUUCAUUCUCCAUUCACUUUCUCCUUUUCUUCUGUGAAGCUUCUUGGAUUCUGCCUUCAACUGCCCUUCCUCCCACGUAGGCAAAAUACUCUGAGCUGUCUUUAUUAAGAUGCAUACGAUGUGUAUACAGUCUGUAUAGUAACAUGUCUGUCAUAUUUGUCCUAUAAAAAGUGAAGAUGAAGAAGAAAAAGUAAACUUGAUUAGGAACCAUUUGGAGGAUUGCUUACAGUUACACUAAUCGCUGAGAGAACAGUGAUCCUCUCCACAUGGUCUGUACUGUUUACUACAAUAAACAUGUCAGUUGAAUGAGAA